UUUUUUCACUCUUCUCUAAAAACCAUUGUUUAUUUUCCAGAGUCCAUUAAACAAGUUGAGUUGACACGUUAGUCACAGUAGAUCAUUUGGGAUUUUUUACAAUUUUUCUGCUCAAUCUACUUUACAAGAAAAGCUAGUAGCCUUUCUCAUUUUUCUAUUAGUUCGGGAAAAUCCACCCUUGACACCAUAGAAUGAAAUUGAAAACCAUAAAAUAUAGAAACCUGGGAACUCUGCCCCCAAACGCAGCUGUCAUAUAUAGUAACUUCACACAAUUCUAUAAAAUUGAGCAAACAAUUGUCUCUUCUGCCCUGCAACCAAGCCCGGCUACUGUCAAAAGCUUUGUUCUCUUUCUAAUUCCACAAAUGUUAAACUGCAAGCCCAAGUGCUAGUGUUAUUAGGAAGAAGAGUACCACAGAGAUGACGGGCUAGAAUUACACCUUGUACUCAUGAGCUACUCCAAUUAUCAGAAGCAAACAUACAGUUGACCUAAUCAUUUCAAGUUAACUUCUUCGUAAGGGGGUGCAAACUGAGAUCUAAAAUAUUUGGAAAUAGGAAAAUCUAUGAGGUUUGAAGACUCUGUACAUUAGAUGAAUGCAUACCAUUCUCAACUAUAAGGACUGGAAGAUAGGCUGUAAGAUAACUAAUAGGCAAUUUCCUUUCAUUUUAAUAAGGAAGUUAUACAAUGUAGCCCAAGGGGGCACGCCAUCCUUGGAGAACUCUAUUAGGCUUCAGCACAAUUCCCCAAAUCUACACUUGCAAAUGUUAAUUUGUAAUUUGAACACCGUGAAAAUUAAAUCAUCACACUAGGCAAGCUGAUUCACUGGCAAGGGAGCAAAAUUUGGAAGCCAAGGGCCAUUUUCUAUGGUUACCAUUAGUCAAUUACAGUCAGUAAAUUGAAGCUUAUCUUACCUGUUUUUUUUUAAAAAAAACCUGCCUCUCCAGAAAACAGUACCCACAAAAAAACUUGAAAAAUACACUAUUUGAGCAUAUAUACUACCAAAAUGCAAUUUUAUUUAUUUGUUUAGCCUUUUCUUAGAAAAUUUCUUUUACUCUACUACUUUAAUAUAAUUUUAUGCUUUCCUACCCAAUUUCCACCCCACAAGAGUAUCAUUUUAAAAUCAUCUGAGAGCAAGAGAGUUAAUUCUUAACACUUUAAUGUCUAACUUAUCUGUUAAAACUUUGUAGGAAUUAAUAGACUUCAGGCACUUGUAGCUAACAAGAAAAAGGAAUCCAGGGGCCUGUGAUAAGAGGUGAAGUAAAUAGGUAGAGUAAGGAGAGAUGCCAAGGCCCAAAGAUACACCUAACCAACCUGAGAGUCUUAUUCAGCUGGUAACCCUAUGCCUCAGACUCGUGCCAGCUCCUAACAGCAACCCGUGAGCAGGAGCCCAUGGCAGAACUGGGUCAGGCGUGUCUUGGCCAAAGUUGGUGCUGACCACAACUUUGACUAAUAGCCUGGGAAGGAAAGUUACCCUCUCAUGCUCAGUUUAACUCCAAAGAAACCGAAGAAACAGGAUGAGGUCUUGCUCUACCUAGGAAGAAAUGUAGCAACCAGAGACAGUACCUAUAGAAGGAGUUUUAAAAAUGGUAAGUCGACAUGGAACUUCAUUUUUUUUUUUUAUUGAUCAAAAGUAUUGUUAAACUGGCUUCACUGUGUUUGAACUUACAGAUAUUCUUCUGUCAGGUAGAAACUAGAUCUCUACUUCCUAAAAAAAUUUACUGUUAUUUCUUCCUUAAAUUUUUGUUACAGAUUACUGGAAUUUUUUUGUGGAAAGAUUUUUAAUGAUGGGUUCAAAAAAAAAAUUAUGGGUUCAAUUUUUUAAAUGAAUAAGAUCUACUGGGGUAGGAAAAUAAGGAUUAGUAGGAACCUUCAUGGGAGUGGCAAACAAGAGUCAACAUCUUUAGUUCUCUGUUACUGCUUUGAUUGGAGGUCAAGGAUUUAAUAUAUAUUAUUUUGAAAUCUUGGCCAACUAAACAACAAAUAUCUUUUUAUCUCAAGAUAUGAUUUUGCUACCCUCAGCCAUGAUAUAGAAGACUGCAGUGAGAAACUAAAAUUCAGUCAAUAGGAUUGUCUAUGAGCUUUUAAAAACCAGUUUUGGAAAAUUUGUAUCCAAUCCUUAAAAAGACAGUAAAUCUUACGUUCUCUGGAAACAAACCAAAAGGAUAUUACAAAUAUUAGCAGGUUAGUUAGUACUAGUUUUAUCAAAAAGUGAUCUGAAUUCUAUAUUUAUUGGUAUAUCUUGAAGGUCACAUAAUUUAGGGGACUUCUCAUAGUUUCCUAGUAACCAUGUUCUUGUAGAAACAUUAGCCAUAUUUCACAUAUGCUCAUCUAAGUUAUCAAGCCUAAAAGAGCUCUCCUCUCGCUCAUUAGACAUGACUCUGCCUACUUAAGUUUCUCAUUUCAAUAUAUUCUUUUGAUCAUUUUCUCCAGGGAAUCAUGGUCAAACGUCCACAUUUUAAUUACCAGCACACUAACACAGAGUGGCUGCUCCUUUUGAUAACGUAACACUUCCCUGGGGCAGAAUGCCAAGGAGUUGUCGGCACAACUGCACCUACUCUUUGAUGGCUAAGCAGCAACUGUCACAACACAACAAAUGUAAUUCAGUCCUAACAUUUUUUAUAAAACCCAUCCCGGUGUGAGGCACGCCUGCCCAUACACAAUCUUCAAGUGAAAAAGUGCCAUACUCCUCAGUGUCAGUGUGUGCAUCUAUGUGUAGACAUAUGUCCUGUUAAACUUCACAGACAAGUCUCUUCUAAUGGCAGAGGUCUCGCUCCCGUCUGACAAAAUAGGACCUAUCCAGUGGUGAAGGAUAAUCAAUUUAAAAAUUCUUGUCACCUGAACAUCUGUGAGUUCAAACACAUUGAGCCAGGCAAAAAUACUUUUGACCAAUCAAUAAAAACGGAGCUCUUGGUAAACUUAGUAUUUUUUUAAAAUGUACUAAUGCCUUAAAAAGGAUCCCAAAUCCAGUUGCUGAGAGUGAAAAUUAAUUAGAGCAGAUUUUUAUAACAUGUAGUUAUGAGACUAUUAAGGUCCACAUGCAAAAAUCAACCAAUUUGUAAUUCUGAUGAGUCACUUGCACAAAGGCAAGCAGGAAAAAUCAGAAAGAAACCACUAACAGCCUAAGAACAAUUAGAAUAUUCUUUUUUUUUCAACUAGGAUAUUCUUUUUAAAACUAUUACGUGGCAAUUAAUUUUAAAUGUUAAACUACAUUUCAAAAACAAAUACCUUCAUAAUAUCCCAUGAAUUUUAUUUCCCAACUCAUUCCUUGAAAAGCCUUUUCCCUUUCACAUAAUGGCAAUUCUUUCUAUUUUAUCCUAAAUGAAAAGGUGAGGCAGUAGAAAUUGAUGGGAUGAACAUUAAGCAGUUCACUCAAAAUACUAUAGGAGUAGUAGCAGAACUGCAUACAUACCUUUGAGUUCUGAAAAAAAAAUCAAAACAAAACAAAAACAACACUUGUAUUCUCUCCUUGCUUGUUAGAAAAGGGUUAAGAUGAGGCAUGGACAUACAAACUAAUCAGAAUCUCUCAGAUCCAAUGAUCAUCUGUAAGGAAUCCUGGGAAAGGAAGUCUCAUUUUACCUACUAGCUUAAGAUCUCAAAAAGUGUGGGCACGUGAGCUCUACUGCCACCUUGCUAUAACAUAAAACUUGAAUAUGAAGCCAAUACCAUAGGCAGCAAAACUGAGGAUGAAGAACACCAUUUUGUGACUCUGGAAUACAGCUCUAUCUGAAGCUGGUUCUAUUUCAGGGUUUUCAGUGCUGUGAGCCAAUAUUUGGCUCAAUUAUUUGACUUUCAAUUACAGUCAGUUUGAGUUGGACGUUUUAAAAUGUGCAAUCAGAGAGAUCUUAAAUGGUACAUUGCUCCAUAUUCCAUGUAAAACCUAAAAAACAAUUUUGACUGGUUUAGGUGAGGUGGUUGUUUAACAAUACUUUGGACCAAUCAACAAAAUGGAGCUCUUUGCAGACUUAAUAUUUUUAAAAACUCAUUAAUGCCUUAGCGAGGAGAAAAAGGGUUGUUAUUCGCAUUUCAUAAACAUAGAAUGAGAGGAAAGCAUAGAGAAGAGCUAAACAGAGUGGCCAAAUCAUCUUAAACUUAGUACAGUGUCAUUCAUAAUCCUAGUUUCUAAUAUCUGUCACCGACUCCUUUUUCAAGUUUGUGAAUCUUAUGAAUGAAAGUGGUGAAAAUAUUAUGAGCUCAGAAGCUAAAUAUGAUCUUAGUGACAACAUGCAAGUGGGUUAAUUACAUUAUAGGAUGAAAUUACCUUCACAAAACUUAUUCUAGCUCACCUAUGCUUAUUUCACAACAGAUUAUCAAUGCAGAAAUGAAAUGUGGGAGCUAUAUAAUGCAUAUUUACAUUUUUAUCUAAGGAAUUUUGGGACACAGAAACCCACAAAUAUUCAUUAAUAAGUUAUACCUGCUUAACACAUAAAAAACCUGCUUCUGUUUCUUUCAAGAAUAAUUUCCUCGCUUCUUUAUUAUAUCCCUUGGUUUCAUGUUUUCCAGUUAUAGCUGAUGUUUUCAAAGUUGACAAUAACUGAUGAUAAAGGAAAAUUUUAAAACAGCCAGGAAAACACUUUCUAAAGAUGCUUUAUGGCUCUCGGUAAUCUAAUUUGUGGGAAAUGCAGAAUGAAGCACCACAGAGUGCUUUUCAAUAAUUUAUGGUGGAGAUUCAUCUCCUAAGUUUAGAAACAUGAUUUGUGACCCAACUGUGCUGUGAACCUAUUUGUGUAAUUAGAUGGCUGGCUACAAUCCCCAACCUGGCCCAUUCUUCCUGCAUGCUCUUCUGGGUUUGUAAUAGAUUCUUGGAUCUAUCCUUUAGAAAUGAAUAAAUGAAAACAGUUAUUUAGCAUGUAUCUUUAAAAAAUUCUACUUAUUACUAAAAGCACAGGACUGGCUAGUAGAUUCUCAUUGUCAGAGUUUUUCCUUCUGAGUUUCGAGGAGAAGAGAUAAACACUAAUACAAAAUUAUUUUGUUUUCAUUUCAUUUACGUGCUUGAAUAGUGCAGGAUUUUUUUUUAUUGUGUAAUGAAAUCACAACAUCCUGACUAAAAAUUCACCUUAAAUGGGAAAAGGGACCAAGAAUAUCACAGCUAUAAGUAUUUCUAGUUCAAAUUUUAAAGGAUUCAUUGAGUGAGACUUAACAUUGACAAAACUAUUUUAAAAAUCAUCUUGAACUUCAAGUGAAAAAAGCCAGUUAUAUUAUCUUUAUUUUAUUUACAUGACUACUCUUAAGUUGUAGAAUAUUAAGUUACUUACAACAAACAGGGAGAAAUUUGGUCUUUUUCCUACAUUCACUUCCAUGUCCCUGACACUGUUUUAUGAUCCAAAUUUUCAUCUUUAAAUGAAGUAGGCACUUAGCUUUAAAAGAAGAAAAAGAAAAGACAACAGACAGCUAUGAAUUAUGUAUGACCUGUGUGCUCAGGGACAACUAAUUAGAAAUCAGUUAAGAAGAAAGUAAAUUCUGAUGCCAUCCUUCUCCAUUUUUAGGUAAAAGAAAACUUUUAGUUUGAAUAUUUGUUGUCAGCAAAAACUAACAUCCACAAUGAAAAUUUAUUUAUAAUGUUCUAUUUUAUACAGUUAAAGAAAAAAUGAUUAUAUUUAACCCAGUAAUGAGAUCAACGGAAUUGUUAAAUAAAACUUGUAUAAUUAAUUCUCAAAUGCCACUUUUUUUAGGAUAAAUGCUGAAAAUAACAGCUACAUAAAAGGUAGAAGACAAUUUAAUUAGGGAAAUAAAUAAAGCAAGUUUCUGGUUGUCAAAUGAGUAAUAAGUAAAGUAAAAGAAUAAAAUUUUAUUUUUCCUUAUAGGGAUUUUUAUUUUUAAACUUUUUUCGUGAAUAUAUUAUGUAACAUUAAAAAGAAGGAUUUGGGAGUAACAGCCCAAAUACUUGGAUUUGACUUCUAACUUUACUGGCUUUGUGAACCUGGGUAACUAAUUUAAACUUUCUGGGCCACGGAUGCCUGAAAUGGAAAGUGGAGGCAAUACUUGACCUAUUUAUAUUACCAAGUUAAGUAUCUGAAAACAUAACUAACACUUCGCAAAUUGUAAAGCACUAUCCAAAUAUAAAAUGUUGCUAUUAUAAAAUUUUCUAAAGCUUUAAUCUCAAAAUCGUAGUGACCCCCUAAAAUUAGAAGGUUAAUUACAUUGCCCAAGAAGAACUGCAAUUCAUCCAUCACCUUAUGAAUUCAGAGGUGUUUUUUGAGAUCAAAACUUUUUUUUUAAAUCUCUAAUUUUGUAAGUCUCCAGCAUUUUUAUAAGACUAAUAAGUAGACAUGUCCUAGAUACUUUUGCUAUAUCUGAAUUGCUUUUAAUUAUUUUAUAAUUACCACUUCAGAAAAUUUUAGUAAUUAUAUAAUUACUAAUUUAAGCAAAUACAGUUUCUGAAUAAUAUGUAUGCUUUCAUGUUGGAUUAUGAGGCUUUUAGUGCAUAAGCUAAUUCUGAGAAUAUCUCUGUAUUUGCUAAAUAUUUCUGCAAUUCUAUUAAAAAGGAACAGGGAUCCCUGGGUGGCGCAGCGGUUUAGCGCCUGCCUUUGGCCCAGGGCGUGAUCUUGGAGACCCGGGAUCGAAUCCCACGUCAGGCUCCCGGUGCAUGGAGCCUGCUUCUCCCUCUGCCUAUGUCUCUGCCUCCUCUCUCUCUCUCUCUAUGACUCAUAAAUAAAUAAAAAUUUAAAAAAAAAGGAACAAUUUCUCCACAUACUUAAGUUUCAGAAUCCCUUUCCUCUUCCUUGUAGGCAGUCUAAGUGUAAUUUUGGUUUUCAUAUAUAGGCUGCUUGCACAAGUAUAUCAUUUAAAUUGAAUCUUAUUCAUACAUGCUCAUAAUUUAGUUCCUGCUUGCUGCAUACAAUAACUGACAUUUACUUAAACUGUGUAAAACUAUGGAAAAUACAACAAAAAAUAAUUAUUCUAUAUAGUGAUAGUAAACCGUUAAACUUAUCAGUUAAGGAAAACUUUUGACCAAAACUGGCAAAUGCAUAGCCAAAUAUAUGGGAAGCCACAACCUCCCAGCCACUAGGUUAGCACUCCCAGAAAAGCAUUCCCAAUUCCUUGUCACCAAACCUCAGCCUCUUUCUUAACAUAAUACUCCAGGAAGCUGAUACCAAUUCUGUAGAUUUGAUAGUCAAGGAGAAAAAUAUUUACCUAUUACUGUAUUAGACCACUAUGUGCCUACAGGAAUCUAUAAGGUAUACUUUUGAUCUGAUUAACCAAAUGAAUUUUAUCUCCAGGAUUAAUACAUAUUCCCCUUUGUGUCAAUGCUGAUGCUGGAUCUUAGUGCUUUCAUCAUUAUUAUACCUAAAAAUAGGUUAUCAUUAUCAGAAAUAGUCCAGUGUGAGAAAUCUGUAAGAAAUAAGAAGCAGAUGACUAUCUUCAGUGAAAGAAAAGAUAAACUGCAAAUUCCAGUCUUGUGACACAGCAGACAUAAAAAAAGCAAUUUUUUACCAGAACUCAUGAAUAGAGACAUUCCUAAGGAAGAUUCUGAUAAGAAGAUAUAAAUUUAUUCAAUGAGCAUUUUAUAAUUUAUGUUGUAAAAAGUAUCACAGUAAUAAAAAGAGUAAAAUCAUGUUUAACUUGCAUUGGGAAACAAGGGUAACUCUUUACUGGCUUUCUCUGGUGGAGUGUUACAAUAUGCAUGUCCAAAUUUAUAUUACAUAUUGAUACUGCUUAUAAGCUGUUACUCACAUGUUCUCUCUUUGUAAAUGGCAGGCCUACCUAGCUGUGGUUUCACACAAAGUUCUCUGGACAAAUCUAGCCCAAACUAGCUUGUCAGCCCCAACUGAAUCACAUGGGCCUCAGCGUCAGCUUCUGAGAUUCACUUUUGAUAUUUCUGGUUGUUUUCUAGGAGUAUCACUUUUAUAGAUUUAUAUUGGUCAAUGUUCCUACUGCCACUUCUACUUCAUACUUUAGCCAUAUUCUAAGUGCUCAUUUUGGCCUCUUCUUGCUCUUGAAAGAUUGCUGCACAAAGCUCCAUGCUUGUGUUACUACCAUGGCAUAGCCCAGGACUCAGGUCACUGCUUGGUGCUCUGGCCACACCUCUCCUCAGUCUGCUGCUGGCUUCUGUCCUGUAACUUGAUAACUUGCUCC
rnacentral:lncRNA from 1 species